ACGAUUAUCCCAACCGUGACAGCAAACGCAGAUCAAUGCGUGGGCAAAUCGUUCUUUCAACCUUGUGGAGAUGGUGGUAGAUGUGUAUGCCCGAACCUGAAUAAAAUCACCGAACUUAAUCCUAGUAAAAUAAGGGUGUGCUCGGUUGACACAAAAUUCGUCUGCAAAAGGCCAGAAUGUUUAAGUGUGAGCGGCAGAUUUGUAGAUCCUAAAA